AUACGUAGGGAGCGAGCGUUGUCCGGAAUUACUGGGUGUAAAGGGAGCGUAGGCGGGAUCGCAAGUCAGAUGUGAAAUGCAUGGGCUUAACCCAUGAGCUGCAUUUGAAACUGCGGUUCUUGAGUGAAGUAGAGGUAAGCGGAAUUCCUGGUGUAGCGGUGAAAUGCGUAGAUAUCAGGAGGAACACCGGUGGCGAAGGCGGCUUACUGGGCUUUUACUGACGCUGAGGCUCGAAAGCGUGGGGAGCAAACAGGAUUAGAUACCCUGGUAGUCCACGCUGUAAACGAUGAUUACUAGGUGUGGGGGGACUGACCCCUUCCGUGCCGCAGUUAACACAAUAAGUAAUCCACCUGGGGAGUACGGCCGCAAGGUUGAAACUCAAAUGAAUUGGCGGGG
rnacentral:rRNA from 1 species